GGCAGCCUCCGGUCUGGAAAAAUGAAGCCAAUGCGGAAGUACAAAAAACUGCAGUUCCUCGAGUGUCCACUUGAGGCUGGCUGCAGAAGCACAGGAAGUGCCAUAAGCCCACAGCCAAAAAAGCCCGUUUUUACCACAGGAAUUAACAUGUUUACAGCCUGGUUCAAAAAACGAGAUAUAUCUGAUAAGUUGACGGCCCCUUCUCCUCCCACUGUGGGGGAGGGGAUUUUUUAAUAACUCAUCGGAUUUUAUUCUAUUAAGGAAAACGGCUAUGCCCAUAUAAGGGUUGUGGCAGAUUUGAUUGACAGCUCUGCGCGUUGCAUCUGUCUGUCAGGUCAGCAGGUCAGGAGGUCAGGAGGUCAGAAGGUCAGCAGGUCAGCAGGUCAGGAGGUCAGCAGGUCAGGAGGUCAGAAGGUCAGGAGGUCAGGAGGUCAGAAGGUCAGGAGGUCAGCAGGUCAGGAGGUCAGAAGGUCAGGAGGUCAGGAGGUCAGAAGGUCAGAAGGUCAGCAGGUCAGCAGGUCAGGAGCAGGUCAGGAGGCUAACAGCUUGAUCCGUCUGAUUUCUCCUCUUUUUAACUUCGUUUGGAGAGUUUGAUUAACACAUAUCUGACAACAUACACGGCUUGCUGUGCGGUUAACAGACCAUCCAAGAAGUUGAUGCUUCGGUUUUUUUCGACCCCUCACUAAAAGUCCAUGUUCUCCUGGAUCCAUGUCACAUCCUCGAGCUUCUUCAGAAUGACAUUUCAACAGUCAAAGUUCUGGUGAGAGAAGAUGGCCAGCAGAUAAGACGGCAGUACAUGAAGGAGCUCCACAUGCUUCAGAAGGAGGAGGGUUUGCACCUUGGAAGACUGUAUUCAUGCUUCAGCUGUUCAAAUAAAAAUAGAUCUCC